GCGGAAACGGAGGUGGAGGUGGAGACGGCGGAAACGGAGGUGGCGGUGGAGACGGCGGUAAUGGAGGAAUGGUGGAAGCAUCGACGGCUGCGUCAUUGAUUGCUCCCUCGGAAAGUAUCUGCCACAUCCAAGUGACUGCCGCAAGUUCAUCCAGUGUGCCCCGUAUGGUCCUGAAGAGAUGCCUUGUGCUCCUGGAACGGUCUGGAACCAACAGAAACUCACCUGUGAUCACGAAUGGGCUUCUCCGUGUGUGACAGGCAGCUACUUGACUCCAGAAGGUCUGCCAUGUGGAGGAGGUAGUGGUGGAAAUGGAGGUGGAGGUGGAGACGGCGGAAACGGAGGUGGAGACGGCGGAACGGA